UUGAAUGUGAAUGAAUCGGGC
rnacentral:miRNA from 1 species